GUGCUUGGUUUGGCAACACAUACAUUAAAACUGGAACUGAAAUCAGCAUGACCCCUACAUAAGGAUGACAUGCAAAUUCAUAAAGUGUUCCAUAUUUUU
ensembl:snRNA U6 U6 spliceosomal RNA